rnacentral:rRNA from 1 species
GAUGAACGCUGGCGGCGUGCCUAAUACAUGCAAGUCGAGCGAACAGAUGAGGAGCUUGCUCCUCUGACGUUAGCGGCGGACGGGUGAGUAACACGUGGAUAACCUACCUAUAAGACUGGGAUAACUUCGGGAAACCGGAGCUAAUACCGGAUAAUAUAUUUAACCGCAUGGUUCAAUAGUGAAAGACGGUUUUGCUGUCACUUAUAGAUGGAUCCGCGCCGCAUUAGCUAGUUGGUAAGGUAACGGCUUACCAAGGCAACGAUGCGUAGCCGACCUGAGAGGGUGAUCGGCCACACUGGAACUGAGACACGGUCCAGACUCCUACGGGAGGCAGCAGUAGGGAAUCUUCCGCAAUGGGCGAAAUCCUGACGGAGCAACGCCGCGUGAGUGAUGAAGGUCUUCGGAUCUUAAAACUCUGUUAUUAGGGAAGACCAAAUGUGUAAGUAACUAUGCACGUCUUGACGGUACCUAAUCAGAAAGCCACGGCUAACUACGUG